AGGCCUGGAGUUGGCCACCCCUGGCCUGUUAGAUUAUUUUUGAUUAAAUUAUUAAAUACCCCCUUUUGAAUUUUUAGCAGUUAAUUUUUAACAAUCAACUGGUGGUAAUCCAUCGUCAGAACUGAUGAAUCGUGGUGUUGAUGGAGACUCUACAGGGGGAUACACUGGUUCCUCAAGCUCCUGAAGCCAAAGCCAGCCAGCCUGAGGCGAAAGAACAAACACCCCCAGCCGAUACACCAGCCAAGGAAGAGCCACCCGCUGCCACUGCCGUCUCGGCACCCUCGGAGCCUGAGCCCACGCCUUCCUCAUUUCCUGAUGACACUUCGCUGAAGAACCACGAGCCUCAUCUGGGACCCAAGCCUCGCACCCACAACAGGGUCCUCAACCCUCCUGGAGGAAAGUCUAGUGUGGUGUUCUACUGAUCUGCUGAGCGUGCCACCUCUCCCAGUUUGUGUCCAUUAACCUCUUUGUCUGCUCCCCUGUUAAUCUUCUCUCAUUCCUACACUGCUUUUUUGAUGGUCAUGUGAUCUGUACACCUAAAUGCAGCCCAGUUAUUGUUGUUGUUCACACCUGAUGCCUGGGCUCAUAAGUUGUCCUCAACAUCUUGCAUUUUCAUCCCCCGUUUCUGACUCCCUCCCGUCUGUCUUCUCCUUGAAAUUCUUCUAUAAUGAAACCUGCAUUCAUUACAAUCACCGAUGAGUCAGCUGAAUGGCUAGCUUAUCACUUUAACUGUAACACUGUUCAGUCUCAACUUUGCAGUUACCGUUUUCAUCAUUUAUGUUACAAGCAUUUGUAAGUGCAAUUUGUUUGGAGGCAGAAUCGUCUGAUUUUUGCGUGUGUGAGAACAUUAAACAUUAAACCGUUCUUGAGAUGCAGAAAUGUUCUGCAUCUCAAGAACGGUUUAGAGUUUGGACUACUUGCACAAUUUUCCGCUUUAAACUGAGCUGCAAUUUGGUUUGGCUAAAAACUUCACAGUAGACAUUUGCCCAAAUUUCUGGGAGCUUUCUGGGGUCAACACAGCUUCUCAUCAGUUUAAUAUAUGAAGUGCCAGAUCUUUAUUGCAUGUCCACUUAAUUUCAGAAUUUAAGAAACAAUCCAUCAGCUUGGCAUCCUUUCAUCUCUCUAGCCUUUUAGUUAAUUAUGCCUUACUAAAAACGUGUACAACAGAGAGCACAAUCUGUGAUUAGGAAUUGAAACAGCUGUUUACUCCCCAGAUGUUUCUGUGUCCUCAAAGAAAUUCCAUUUUGAUUUAUGUGAAUGUAUUGUGCAGGUACUUUCUCUGCUUUGCCCUCACUGCUUGCUUUAUCUGAGAACAUCUGCCUUCUUUUAGCUUCAGGUAGGCCUCAGUUUAUGUUUUAAAUUAAAAUGCUUGAAGACAAAGUGAACUCUGGACAAGCGUGCGGCCUACCUGAUGUCCAGGUGGGCUGGAUGAUAAUCACAUUUUCACACUCCUCUCGGGGCACAUCCGUGGUGUUCUGGUGCCAGCCUGUCCCCUCCGUUUUUUGUGGGGGUUUUUUGUUUGUUUUUUUUCCCCCCACAUACAAAAAUGGCCGCUUCUGCCUGGAGGGAGUUUUUUAUUUUUGCUUUGCAGCCACACAGGAUCUGUAUGGAAGUUUUAAACAUUUCUAUUUUAGGCAAUUUUAUUUUAUAAUAUUUUAGAUGACAGCACAUAAAACUGUGUGUGUGUGUGUGUGUGUGUAAAAACAGAUGUUCAGAGGUCUUGCUUCAUGGUAUCGAGCAGCCCACACAAAACAGGGUCUUUAUGUUUUAAUGUAAGUGCUGAUGUAAACCACAAUGUUCAGCAAACAUCUAUCAGGUCAUUGGACUUG